rnacentral:rRNA from 1 species
AUGUCAUUACGUAAUUUUUGCAUGGUUUGUAGAAUACCCUUUGAGGAUAGCUUAGAUGAACCACAUCGUAAAGAUGUGGAUGGUUUCGUUGAUACUAUUACUGUAGGGGAAUCGAAGAAGGGUUCCGAUGCGAGAAUCACUAGCAUACACUUUCCUGUUUUACGCUACUUUGCCAUAUUUGCUAGUCGAUGCUUAAUUGGUCAUGGAAAUAGUGGAAACCUCAGUGUUCCUGAUAAUAUUAUUCUGCUCCAUGCCUUAUUCGGUGAUAACACUUUUAGUAUGGGUGUCGUUAUUGCUAAACGGUUAAGUCUAAACUGUACAAAGGGCCCCAUCUUUGGAGGCAUCUAUGUUGCACGCCUUGCUAAAUACUUCGAGAUGCCUAUUAGACAUGAUGAGGAAGAUGAGACGGUGCUGCUUCUUACCCUUUUAGAUUACAGGAGCAUGGUAGCACAUGAGUUUAUUAUUGACAACGAUGAUAAGAUGCUUCUGUAUAACCUGAGAUUUAAUAAGAAACACAAUAAGACCAUGCCUGCACCUUCUUUGUUUGAUUUAACUGCAAGUCAUUACCUUGUCUUGCCGGAAGCAGUGUACGCGUACCGAGGCCAGACAUCAGCUCCAGAGCCUGAGCCGAAACCACCACUAGACCCAUAUCGUCCAUCAUCUUAUCAGUGGGAUCUGGAGGAGAUCGUCAACCGGUGGCAGUACGAUGACACUCCUCAGUACAUCGGGGAGAGUAGCCGCGAUCCAUGGACAUAG